rnacentral:rRNA from 1 species
GUGUCAGCCGCCGCGGUAACACGUAGGGGACGAGCGUUGUCCGGAUUCAUUGGGCGUAAAGCGCGCGUAGGCGGCUCGGAAAGUCGGGUGUGAAAGUCCGGGGCUCAACCCCGGGACUGCAUCCGAUACUUCCGGGCUGGAGGUAGGUAGGGGAGAUCGGAAUUCCUGGUGUAGCGGUGAAAUGCGCAGAUAUCAGGAGGAACACCGGUGGCGAAGGCGGAUCUCUGGGCCUUACCUGACGCUGAGGCGCGAAAGCUAGGGGAGCGAACAGGAUUAGAAACCCUAGUAGUCC